AACGAACGCUGGCGGCAUGCCUAACACAUGCAAGUCGAACGAGACCUUCGGGUCUAGUUGCGCACGGGUGCGUAACGCGUGGGAACCUGCCCUUAGGUUCGGAAUAACUCCCCGCAAGGGGUGCUAAUACCGGCUAAUGUCUUCGGACCAAAGAUUUAUCGCCUUGUGAUGGGGCCGCGUUGGAUUAGCUAGGUGGUAGGGUAAAAGCCUAUCAAGGCGACGAUCCAUAGCUGGUCUGAGAGGAUGAUCAGUCACACUGGGACUGAGACACGGCCCAGACUCCUACGGGAGGCAGCAGUGGUGAAUAUUGGACAAUGGCCGAAAGCCUGAUCCAGCAAGGCCGCGUGAGUGAUGAAGGCAUUAUGGUUGUAAAGCUCUUUUACCCGGGAUGAGAAUGACAGUACCGGUAGAAUAAGCGCCGGCUAACUCCGUG
rnacentral:rRNA from 1 species